UAUGCUGGGGAAUAACCUCGGGAAACUGAGAAUAAUGCCCCAUAGUUCACUACGCCUGGAACGGUGAGUGGAUGAAAGCUCCGGCGGCAUAGGAUGGGCCUGCGGCGUAUCAGGUCGUAGGGGGUGUAACGUACCCUCUAGCCAUCGACGCGUACGGGUGUUGGGAGACAUAGCCCGGAGAUGGAUUCUGAGACACUAAUCCAGACCCUACGGGGUGCAGCAGGCGCGAAAACUUGGCAAUGCGAGAAAUCGUGACCAGGGAACUCCAAGUGGCUGGGGUAAGACCCAUUCUUUUCUUGACUCUUCAAAGGUCUUGGAAUAAGAGGUGGGUAAGGACGGUGCCAGCCGCCGCGGUAAUACCGGCGCCUCAAGUGGAAGUCGAUUUUAUUGGGCCUAAAACGUCCGUAGCCUGUUUGGUACAUUCUUGGGUAAAUCAACCAGUUCAACUGGUUGAAUUCUGCGAGCACGGCCAGACUUGGGACCGGGAGAGGUGUGGGGUACGCUCAGGGUAGGGGUAAAAUCCUGUCAUCCUGAGCGGACCACCUGUUGCGAAGGCGCCACACUAGAACGGAUCCGACGGUCAGGGACGAAGCCUAGGGGCACGAACCGGAUUAGAUACCCGGGUAGUCCUAGGUGUAAACGCUGUGGACUUGGUGUUGGGGAUUCUCCGAGGAUUCUCAGUGCCGAACCGAAG
rnacentral:rRNA from 1 species